rnacentral:lncRNA from 1 species
UAGUUGUUCUUUCAUUUUUGAUAGGUUGUCGAGGGAGUGAGUUCACGGUGGCAUGAAUGGGUAAGGCUUCGUUUGGGAUUGCGAGAAGAUUGCAUUACGUGAGGUGAGAAAGUAUGUUGAAAAAAUAUCCUGUUUGUUUCCGUACGUAAUAUUGCACUCCGCAUAUCGCGUUCCGCAUAUCGCAUUCCGCAUAUCGCGAUGAGUCGGUUACGAUAUAUUUUCUGCGGUCCCACCGGAUAACGCAGAAGCAUAUCCCUAUAUGCUUUUUCCUCAACUUCAACUUCAUUUUAUCUAAUAGCGUUAGAUAGAUCUCAAUAUCAAACUAAGCCUAAGGCGUUAUUCUAGCAGCGGUGGGAUAUGCGCGCCUUAUUCCCUGGAUCUAUUCCAACAUAAAACCAAGGAUGCAUGAGGGUGAAAGGGAAAGGAUAUAUACAGUACAACUUUUGUGAACUAAUGCCACAUCUAGCCUUAUUGAGAAAAAAAAUCCCCAAUCUAGCCUUCUUCUUAAAAAAAUUCCCAACCUAGCCUUUCUUUUGAUGGAUUAGAAAAUAAAAAAGGCUUAAGAGCAUUUAUAUGUUAAUUAGUAGAGAGAAAAUUUUUCUCUCUCUUUCCUCUCAAUUAAUUCUUAUAAUAAUAACAAUAAUUAAAAAUUAAUAUUUAAUAACAAUGAUAUUAUUAUUACUGAAUGAUAAUUUUAUUAUUAUUAUUAUUAUUAUUAUUAUUACUAGUAUUUAGUAUAUGUGGUAAAGGGCUUGGUGGUUGGUACUUGAAGUUUUGAGUUUGAAUCAUAGUUGAUUCACAUUUUCUUUGAUUCAUAUUUCCAGCUAAGUUUAUUUCUAAAAAAAAUAAAUGAAGAGGGUAGCACCAUACUAUCUUUCUGAGAAAAAACAUUCAGUAACAAUAAUAUUUAUUAUUAUUAAAUAUUAAUUUUUAAUUAAUAUUAUUAUAACAAAAAUUAAUUAUUUUUAAAUAUUAGUAGGGUGGGAGGAGAGAGAGAAAAAAAUUUCUCUCUCCUAAUUAGCAUAUAAAUACUAUUAAAGUUAUCUUUUAUUUUCUAAUUAUCAAAAGAAGGCUAGGUUAGGAAUUUUUUUUAAAAGGAGGCUAGAUUGGGAAUUUUUUUUUCUAAUAAGGCUAUACAUGGCAUUAGUUCAACUUUU